UUCUUCACCGUCCGGUUACAA
rnacentral:piRNA from 1 species